rnacentral:rRNA from 1 species
CUGUGAGGAAUAUUGCACAAUGGGCGCAAGCCUGAUACAGCAACGCCGCGUGAGGGAUGACGGCCUUCGGGUUGUAAACCUCUUUUAGUAGGGAAGAAGCGAAAGUGACGGUACCUGCAGAAAAAGCACCGGCUAACUACGUGCCAGCAGCCGCGGUAAUACGUAGGGUGCGAGCGUUGUCCGGAAUUAUUGGGCGUAAAGAGCUCGUAAGCGGUCUGUCGCGUCUGCUGUGAAAACCCGAGGCUCAACCUCGGGCCUGCAGUGGGUACGGGCAGACUAGAGUGCGGUAGGGGAGAAUGGAAUUCCUGGUGUAGCGGUGGAAUGCGCAGAUAUCAGGAGGAACACCGAUGGCGAAGGCAGUUCUCUGGGCCGUAACUGACGCUGAGGAGCGAAAGCGUGGGGAGCGAACAGGAUUAGAUACCCUGGUAGUCCACGCCGUAAACGUUGGGCGCUAGAUGUGGGGACCAUUCCACGGUUUCCGUGUCGCAGCUAACGCAUUAAGCGCCCCGCCUGGGGAGUACGGCCGCAAGGCUAAAACUCAAAGGAAUUGACGGGGGCCCGCACAAGCGGCGGA